AUUGAACGCUGGCGGCAGGCCUAACACAUGCAAGUCGAACGAGUGGCGGACGGGUGAGUAAUGUCUGGGAAACUGCCUGCUGGAGGGGGUUAACUACCGGAAACGGUAGCUAAUACCGCAUACCAUCAUAUGUGCCCAGAUGGGAUUGGCUAGUUGGUGGGGUACCGGCUCACCAAGGCGACGAUCCCUAGCUGGUCUGAGAGGAUGACCAGCCAAACUGGAACUGAGACGCGGUCCGGACUCCUGCGGGAGGCAGAGGUGGUGAGUAUUGGGAAAGGGGGGCAAGCCUGAUGCAGCCAAGCCGCGUGUAUGAAGGAGGCCUUCGGGUUGGAAGGGACUUUCAGCGGGGAGGCAAUACCCGACGAAGAAGCACCGGCUAACUACGUGCCAGCCGCCGCGAUAAUAC
rnacentral:rRNA from 1 species